rnacentral:rRNA from 1 species
GGGUUGUGAGGUUAAGCGACUAAGCGUACACGGUGGAUGCCCUGGCAGUCAGAGGCGAUGAAGGACGUGCUAAUCUGCGAUAAGCGUCGGUAAGGUGAUAUGAACCGUUAUAACCGGCGAUUUCCGAAUGGGGAAACCCAGUGUGAUUCGUCACACUAUCAUUAACUGAAUCCAUAGGUUAAUGAGGCGAACCGGGGGAACUGAAACAUCUAAGUACCCCGAGGAAAAGAAAUCAACCGAGAUUCCCCCAGUAGCGGCGAGCGAACGGGGAGCAGCCCAGAGCCUGAAUCAGUGUGUGUGUUAGUGGAAGCGUCUGGAAAGGCGCGCGAUACAGGGUGACAGCCCCGUACACAAAAAUACACAUAUUGUGAGCUCGAUGAGUAGGGCGGGACACGUGGUAUCCUGUCUGAAUAUGGGGGGACCAUCCUCCAAGGCUAAAUACUCCUGACUGACCGAUAGUGAACCAGUACCGUGAGGGAAAGGCGAAAAGAACCCCGGCGAGGGGAGUGAAAAAGAACCUGAAACCGUGUACGUACAAGCAGUGGGAGCACGCUUAGGCGUGUGACUGCGUACCUUUUGUAUAAUGGGUCAGCGACUUAUAUUCUGUAGCAAGGUUAACCGAAUAGGGGAGCCGAAGGGAAACCGAGUCUUAACUGGGCGUUAAGUUGCAGGGUAUAGACCCGAAACCCGGUGAUCUAGCCAUGGGCAGGUUGAAGGUUGGGUAACACUAACUGGAGGACCGAACCGACUAAUGUUGAAAAAUUAGCGGAUGACUUGUGGCUGGGGGUGAAAGGCCAAUCAAACCGGGAGAUAGCUGGUUCUCCCCGAAAGCUAUUUAGGUAGCGCCUCGUGAAUUCAUCUCCGGGGGUAGAGCACUGUUUCGGCAAGGGGGUCAUCCCGACUUACCAACCCGAUGCAAACUGCGAAUACCGGAGAAUGUUAUCACGGGAGACACACGGCGGGUGCUAACGUCCGUCGUGAAGAGGGAAACAACCCAGACCGCCAGCUAAGGUCCCAAAGUCAUGGUUAAGUGGGAAACGAUGUGGGAAGGCCCAGACAGCCAGGAUGUUGGCUUAGAAGCAGCCAUCAUUUAAAGAAAGCGUAAUAGCUCACUGGUCGAGUCGGCCUGCGCGGAAGAUGUAACGGGGCUAAACCAUGCACCGAAGCUGCGGCAGCGACGCUUAUGCGUUGUUGGGUAGGGGAGCGUUCUGUAAGCCUGCGAAGGUGUGCUGUGAGGCAUGCUGGAGGUAUCAGAAGUGCGAAUGCUGACAUAAGUAACGAUAAAGCGGGUGAAAAGCCCGCUCGCCGGAAGACCAAGGGUUCCUGUCCAACGUUAAUCGGGGCAGGGUGAGUCGACCCCUAAGGCGAGGCCGAAAGGCGUAGUCGAUGGGAAACAGGUUAAUAUUCCUGUACUUGGUGUUACUGCGAAGGGGGGACGGAGAAGGCUAUGUUGGCCGGGCGACGGUUGUCCCGGUUUAAGCGUGUAGGCUGGUUUUCCAGGCAAAUCCGGAAAAUCAAGGCUGAGGCGUGAUGACGAGGCACUACGGUGCUGAAGCAACAAAUGCCCUGCUUCCAGGAAAAGCCUCUAAGCAUCAGGUAACAUCAAAUCGUACCCCAAACCGACACAGGUGGUCAGGUAGAGAAUACCAAGGCGCUUGAGAGAACUCGGGUGAAGGAACUAGGCAAAAUGGUGCCGUAACUUCGGGAGAAGGCACGCUGAUAUGUAGGUGAAGUCCCUUGCGGAUGGAGCUGAAAUCAGUCGAAGAUACCAGCUGGCUGCAACUGUUUAUUAAAAACACAGCACUGUGCAAACACGAAAGUGGACGUAUACGGUGUGACGCCUGCCCGGUGCCGGAAGGUUAAUUGAUGGGGUCAGCGCAAGCGAAGCUCUUGAUCGAAGCCCCGGUAAACGGCGGCCGUAACUAUAACGGUCCUAAGGUAGCGAAAUUCCUUGUCGGGUAAGUUCCGACCUGCACGAAUGGCGUAAUGAUGGCCAGGCUGUCUCCACCCGAGACUCAGUGAAAUUGAACUCGCUGUGAAGAUGCAGUGUACCCGCGGCAAGACGGAAAGACCCCGUGAACCUUUACUAUAGCUUGACACUGAACAUUGAGCCUUGAUGUGUAGGAUAGGUGGGAGGCUUUGAAGUGUGGACGCCAGUCUGCAUGGAGCCGGCCUUGAAAUACCACCCUUUAAUGUUUGAUGUUCUAACGUGGACCCGUGAUCCGGGUUGCGGACAGUGUCUGGUGGGUAGUUUGACUGGGGCGGUCUCCUCCUAAAGAGUAACGGAGGAGCACGAAGGUUGGCUAAUCCUGGUCGGACAUCAGGAGGUUAGUGCAAUGGCAUAAGCCAGCUUGACUGCGAGCGUGACGGCGCGAGCAGGUGCGAAAGCAGGUCAUAGUGAUCCGGUGGUUCUGAAUGGAAGGGCCAUCGCUCAACGGAUAAAAGGUACUCCGGGGAUAACAGGCUGAUACCGCCCAAGAGUUCAUAUCGACGGCGGUGUUUGGCACCUCGAUGUCGGCUCAUCACAUCCUGGGGCUGAAGUAGGUCCCAAGGGUAUGGCUGUUCGCCAUUUAAAGUGGUACGCGAGCUGGGUUUAGAACGUCGUGAGACAGUUCGGUCCCUAUCUGCCGUGGGCGCUGGAGAACUGAGGGGGGCUGCUCCUAGUACGAGAGGACCGGAGUGGACGCAUCACUGGUGUUCGGGUUGUCAUGCCAAUGGCACUGCCCGGUAGCUAAAUGCGGAAGAGAUAAGUGCUGAAAGCAUCUAAGCACGAAACUUGCCCCGAGAUGAGUUCUCCCUGACCCUUUAAGGGUCCUGAAGGAACGUUGAAGACGACGACGUUGAUAGGCCGGGUGUGUAAGCGCAGCGAUGCGUUGAGCUAACCGGUACUAAUGAACCGUGAGGCUUAACCUUACAACGCCGAAGGUGUUU